UCGAGUAAGCGGUUCACGUAAGGCACCGGUUUUUGAUACCGGCAUUCCCUGGUUCGAAUCCAGGUACCCCAGCCA
rnacentral:tRNA from 1 species